rnacentral:tRNA from 1 species
ACCGCGAUAGCUCAGUUGGUACAGCCUCGACCCAGCAAGUAGAGUGUCGCCGAUUCCAUUCCGACUCGCGGUU